GACGAACGCUGGCGGCGUGCUUAACACAUGCAAGUCGAACGGAAAGGCUCCAGCUUGCUGGAGUACUCGAGUGGCGAACGGGUGAGUAACACGUGGGUAAUCUGCCCUGCACUCUGGGAUAAGCCUGGGAAACUGGGUCUAAUACUGGAUAUGACCUUUCUCCUUAUGGGGUUUGGUGGAAAGUUUUUCGGUGUAGGAUGAGCCCGCGGCCUAUCAGCUUGUUGGUGGGGUGAUGGCCUACCAAGGCGACGACGGGUAGCCGGCCUGAGAGGGUGAUCGGCCACAUUGGGACUGAGAUACAGCCCAGACUCCUACGGGAGGCAGCAGUGGGGAAUAUUGCACAAUGGGCGGAAGCCUGAUGCAGCGACGCCGCGUGAGGGAUGACGGCCUUCGGGUUGUAAACCUCUUUCAGCAGGGACGAAGCGUAAGUGACGGUACCUGCAGAAGAAGCACCGGCUAACUACGUG
rnacentral:rRNA from 1 species